CUGAUCUGGGCUCAUCAAUGAGGGAUGAUGGCAAUUCUGAAGUGGUGUACAACAAAAUUACUGACACUCUUCAACACAGGACAGGACUGCAAGCUGCUGCCAUGAGAUGAGCAGUAUCAGAGCAAAACAGCUAAAUGAGUGCUGACAGUCACUAAAUAUUGAACAGUUAUGGGGUCACCUUUACUCCUCAGGACAGCGCUGAGCAGAGCUUCUCUCAAGCCACAGUAAUACACUUGGUAUUCACAUUUGGAAACAUUGGAAAGUAGGAGGAACAGGACGGGAAGCAAUAUUAAAAAAUACUGUUUUGCCUUUAUAGAAUUCAGCACUAAUGUUUCCCCUGGAAUAAUAUAGCCUAAUGGAGCAUUUUAGUCCAUGGAUGUUAAUGCUCUCCACACGAAGGGAUUGGUGCUAUUUCCCAUGACUUACAUAGGUGGAACAGCAGGGCUGCUAAGGAAGCAGUGGAAGUCAGGAACCAAAACUCUAUGAGCAAAGCCCUGUAUCAACUCACUGUCUUUCAGCCAGUGCAAAAAGUGCACCCAGAAAGCUGACUACACGAUUGGCUGAGGAAACCAAAAACUUCUCUCCUGAAAGAAAGAGUGUUACACCUCACCCAUCCGCAGUCUGAAAUAUACAAAUCCUCAAGAGGAAGGAUUCAAGAAGACAAUAACAGAAGUCAGAGGCUCAGUGUCACAGGAUAAAUUGUCCCUUUCCCUUGGCAAAUGACCUGAUCCAUAGGAAGAAAACUGGAUUGAGCAUUUAGGUAUGCAGCAGGCUUGAAUGAAGUUGAAGGCUCAUUCAACUGCCUGUACACGAGCAUAGAUAAACCCUGGAGGGGUUUGCUGUAAAGUUUUCUAAUCUAAAAUAGUGGGAAAACGUACAGUUUACAAAGCUGUCAUUAACUAUUGUAACUGUGAAAUGAUCUUGCUCUGCUUUUAAUCGUCACCACUAAUUAUACAGACACAAUAUCGUACCCAGGGCACGUUGACAAUUUUGGCAGGAAGAAGAGUCAUCAUGUUUUAAGCUUGACAAGGCAUGGAGAGAUUAUUUGUUCAAUAAAUGUGAUCAUUUUGUGGAUGAAUGCUUUGUGAAUAGCUUGUUUCCUUUCCCACCUUCUCAGAUUUAGCUGUCAAAUAACAUCCCAAACUAACACUCAUCCUGUCACCUGUCAAACAGUAUACUGUCACCAUUCAGAAAUGAGUGCCAUUUAAAGGCAAGUCUGGGCCUUGUGGUUUGUUCCAGUUUUCAGAGCAGGUUGGUAAUGCCCUCAGCAUGCCUUCAUGAUAUGAGUACUCACAGAAAGACAGAAGUCGCUCUCUACCAAAUAUUGUGUCAUACUCAAUUGACAUUUCUUGUUAUGUCGACCAUUCAUUCUAACAACCCCAGUUAAUUAUGGAACUAGGGAAAAUGAGCACAGAACAAAUUGUGUAUAGAAGUAGAAAAGAACAAUUAGUUUUAGAAUUCUAAUUGAUAGUUAAGGGAAAAAAAAACAAAAAACUUUUGUUAUUUUUCCUCCAGGCAUGGGAAAGGGUGACAGAAAGAUCCACAGCAGUCAAGAACCAGUACCGUAAGACCUAUAGAGGCUGAUUAAUUUAUGACAUCUGCACUGCAGUCUCACAGAAAUACGUAGAGGAUGAAGCUGGUUACAAGAACCAUAGGUUUCAGGAAGAAAACUAGGUGAAGUUCAAAGUGUUUACAAAAUUUGGAAUACCUUGGAAUUAAAUUUUUAUUUAUUGUAACUCAUAUUUGUCCAUCUUCAAAACCAGGUAAUGCCUGGACAAGCGUUUUGACACUAUGAUACAUAAAGCAUAAAUUAUAAUGUAACAUAAAAACAUGUUUGUUUGUUUUUUACCUAGCUACUGACAGUGAAAUUGUGGUUUCUGGCUCAAAAAAAAAAAAAAAGAAAGGCAAUAAAAAGCGUAUGCAAACAUUUCUUGCAAGACAAUGAGGAGACAAUACACUGAAUUUCAACAUCAUAAGCUGCGACAAGAUUUUCAUACAUGCAGAGAAGGCUAUCAUUAUACCUGGCUGUGUCCUUCCCCAUAAUGUUGGGAAAACAGAUGCCAUCACCUCAGUGAUCUUCCGGGUGUCACUGCUGUACACAGAACAGCUGGAGUACCUUUCUCAUGGAAGAAGAAUCACUUCCAGCAGAAGACCAAGCAUGUCUGAAUGCAAAGACCACAACCGUGCUGCCAGUCAGGAAUGAAAAUCUUCUGGUGUUCUGAACAGCAGAGGGGAGGCCUCUUUCAGAGCUUUCAUGACCCCAUGAUGCAGCUGCCUGCUCCGGAGUCUACGUGGGCACAGCAGGACUGAGGAGUGGAAAACUGUCAUCAAGCAAGUCUUGUUUAAAUUAUUCUCCUCAGUCUAUAGAUCUGUAGGCAUCUGUAGACACCUGAAUUUCUGUCCCACACAAGAUCAUACAGACCUUAUCAACGGCUCAAUUGUUCCCUCUCCUUCCACAGCUCCAAAACAACAGUUAUACACUGCUAUAUGGGCUGGUGGAGGAAACCAAGGAAGCGUUCCUGUUGGGAGUGCUGUUAUAGCUUUGAGAGCCUCUUGCUUGCCUGGUGCCGGGCUCUGCAAUACUGAGUCAUACCAGCUGAUUACAUGAGCAAAGUACUUGAAAUUUAUAACACACUUUGCUCAUUGUGAUGCUGAGGUUUUCAUUCAUGUUACUCUCCUAGUGAAUGACUGCAUUUCAGAUUAGCUCUCAAUGUCAACAUACACUAGUCUUCAGUUUUUCAGUUUGAGCUCGUUUCCCUUCUACUUCUUUUAUUGCUCUAAAUUCAUUUCCACUUGCUGCCUUAGUGGUGAUUUUAUAUUACUCUUGGCCCAGCUCUGUCCUCACCCUUCAUGUUCCAGUCAGAACACCUUCCAUGAUCUUGUUCACUGUGCUGUGCUACCAACGCCACACUGCAGCUAAGCAGAACGCUGGGGAAUAGAAAUCUAUACACCCUGAUGGCCAAGGAACAGAGGGUCACUGGAGCUAGCUAACAGUACCAACACUAAGAUGUCAAAGGCAGUGCUAUGGGAACUGUUGCUGCUAAAGGCUCAAGUCAGAAAUCCAUCUGGUUGCAAACUGCCUCUGACAGAGUUCUCAGGCGACAUCCAGGGAAGGCAGUAACACCAAACCUCUGAACUUCCCAGUCAAACCACCGUUCCUUCCAUCCCAACUCAGAAAUCCCAGCUGUUUUCUCUGCUUGAGAAUGCAGAUGUCUGCAUAAUAUACACAGAAAGGGUCUAGGGCAUUGACGCUAAUAGAACAAAAAUACAAGCCAAAUCAGAUUACAUCCCUGACUACGUACUUCACUGCGCAGGGUGGAGCUGAGCUUCUUCUGAGGUUGAAAGGGAAGGAAAAUACCAUCACUGAUGUCCUGAAACAAAGGGAAACUAAAACCUUCAUCAGUUCUGUUCUUGUAAGAACAGUGAGAAACAGCAGUAGUUCUGAGUCCCCAUUUAACGUCCUGACUAAGGCAUCAGAAAAGUGCUGAGGUUUCUAGGAUAUGAAACGCAGGUCUGUGACUCCACUCCUCAAAACUAAAAACAGAAGUAGUUCUCAGAGUCACAGAAAAUCAGUACGUGUUCCUCCACCCUGCCCAUUUGUGGAUGUAAUACAAGGCCCUGUGUAUCAGCUACAUACCCACAUACAACAUGUAAGGAAGUGUAAAUGCCAGUUCACUUUCAACAUCAAUUCAAAGCUUGUUUUGUUUGCAUCCAGGAAGUAGCUUUGCAACCCCUCCACAAAAGUGAAAGUUUAGACAGAGGAUGCUGCUUUUGGUUGUAUGUUUUUGUUCCUCCUUCCUGACACUGCACAGCUUUCCUUGCCCCCCCCCAGCCUGGCACUCCAGCUCCUGCAGGAGGCUCUCCUGCCUCCCACCACCUGUAUUACCAGGGCUGGGCAGUCAGGCUCUCCACCAGGAGCUGCCCCAGAUCAGUUUCAUAGUUGUCCCAGACUGGUUGCUAUAGUGGGGACAGAAGAUUGAAUUUAGCGGUGCAUCAUCACCAUCACUGUGGGGGACUGACCUUCACAUGCACAUCCCCCUUUCACACCAGCCACCGUGCAAGACUGACUCACCCCCGUCUUUGUGCUUUGCUGGAAGAGUUUCUGGUGCUCCCUCUGUAUCUGGUAAUUCUCCAUUGCUUCAGAGGAUGCUUUGUGGUUCCCAGCUGUAGCUUGCUCAUCUCAGCCAUACUAUAUGUGCUGCUGCGUACUCUGUCCCACCACAUGGAUUCCCACCUUUUUGACCAUGGAGAGAUUUACAGGACAGGCCUGCCAAUUAUUUCAAGCUAAAGACAAAAAACCCAAAGACUUACAAAGACACACCCACCAAAAGACAGAAGAGGCUGAGAACCUGUGCUUUCCAGUGCAGUUAGCUGGCAAUAGAAGAGAGGGAUGAAACUCUGACCCUUUCACCACUGGCUCUGCAAGCCAUCCAAGUGCAGUCCUUGCAGCAAGGCUGUCCUGAUGAGAACGGCUUGCACCUGUGAACAUUGGAAGGCCCGGAGAGAGACUGCACUGCACAGGUGAGGCACACAGCCAGGGCAGGGAGCUGAUUAAUUAGAUACCUUACCACAUCUCUGCACUUCAUUUUUUUUCUUUUUAAUUCAAUUUUAAAAUUGUGUUUUCCACCAAAAAAAAAAAGAAGGCUAUACCUCCACAGGGUAGGACUUCCAUGAAAUAAUUUCGUAUUACUGAAAUCUGUAACAAGCGUAAGGCUAUAAAUCCCUCUCAGCUUCCACAUAGUCUUACUGAAUGCUGCAUGUUUACCACUCAGUGCUGGGGCAGUCUCUCUGGUCACAGCUGGUUGGUUACAUUGAUGGCAGAACCAACAAGGGACCAGCACAAGCAACUUAAAAGAACCCUGCUUAUAAACAAAAUUAAUUUUGAGCAUUCUUACAGAUGAGGUGACAGCAAAUUAACUCUAAGCAAAAUUACAUACAUUUUAUAAUGAGGUAAUGACUGGUGGUUACAGGCACCGAAUUCCAGGAAAAUUGAAGGCGUAUCACAGUAGGGCAUCACAUUGCAGUGAUAAUUCAGACAACCCUAUGGCAAUGGAAACUCAAGUCUAAAGGUAGUACGAAGUAGGUACUCAUUAAGAAGAGAUUAUGCACCUCUCUCUCAGUAUUUAACCCCUCCCAAAAUGAACUCCCAUACAGACAACUACAUGAUACCCAGAGCUCACCCCAGGCAAACCCUUGGAGCUAAGCAAAUUAUUAUAUUGUGAUGAAUUCUGUCAAGCAUGCCUUUCAUUAAUAAUGGAUAAAAAUGCACAAAGCCUCGCCUGUAUUUAUCAUACCAUCGACCAAAUGAUCUAGUCUCAAUACCUUCUCUCUCCACUUUAAAUGCAAUCCCAGAACAGUGAGAGGAUGCUUCAAACCUGGCCGAUUGCUGCCAUCCUGUGGCAGAUUUUUGUAUUUCAGUUCGGUACCAGAGGGAAAACGGCUUAAGAGGCGGCGUUUUACAAGAGAUCUGCUAUCAACUCCUGCUUUUAAAUGCUUCAGAAGGAAUGCUAGUUAUCUGUUUGCAGCGGUUUUCAAAUCUUAGAAAGCCACGAGCCAUUACCCACAAAGGUUGUGAAGUCCCUUUCUCUGGAUAUAUUCAUAACCCAUCUGGACACUUUCUUGUGCAACCUGCUGUAGGGAACCUGCUUUAGCAGGGAAUUGGACUUAGUGACCUCCAAAGAUUCAUUCUAACCCCUACAAUUCUAUGAUUAUAGUGAUUCUAGCAGAAGUAACCCUCCCAGGCAGAAAAUGAAGAUCAGAUGACAGGGAGCUCAUGUCCCUCUUUUAAACAGAGAGAUACUGCAGCAGUCAGUGGUCUAAAUUCCAGAAACGAUAUUAAUGCUAACUCAUCUCUAUCCACAUCAGACUGCCAAUUCCAGAAUAAAUCAGUGCCCAUGUUUCUGAUGGAAAAUGUGGUAGUGCCCUCAACCAGGAAAGCCAACGGAGAGCUGAAUCCAAACACAACGUGAUAGGAAGGGACACCAUCCAAAGAGACUUGGACUACCUUGAGAAGUGAGCCCAUUUGAAAUCAGUGAGGUUCAAGAAGGCCAGGUGCAAGGUGCUGCACCUGGGUUGGGUCAGUCUGAGGGAUGUGUAGGGACAGAGAGAGCACCUGGAGUGCAGCCCUGGGGAGAAGGACCUGGAAGUCCUGAUGGAUGAGAAGCUGGACAUGAGCCAGUGGUGUGUGCAUGAAGCCUAGAAUGCCAACAGCGUCCUGGGCUGCAUCAAAAGAGAGGUGGCCAGCAGGGAGAGGGAGGUUACUGUUUCCCUCUACUCUGCCCUCAUGAGGUCCCAUCCCGAGUACUGUAUCCAGGCUGCCCCGGCAGAAAAAGGACUUGGAGCUCUUGAAACAGGUCCAGAGGUGGGCCACAAAGACAGUCAGAGGGCUGCAGCACCUCUUCUAUGAAAGAUAGGAUGUGGGAGCUGUGCUUGUUUAGUCUUGAGACGAAGGGCUCUAGGGAGACCUCACUGUAACCUUCCGAUACUUAAAAAAAGCUUACAACCAGGUGAAAGACUGACUUUUUAAGUGGUCUGAUAACAAUAGGACAAGGGGGAAUGGUUUAAAGCUAAAGGAGGGAAGAUUCAAAUUAGAUGUCAGGGGUAAGUUUUUCACUGAGAGGUUGGUGAGGUGCUGGACCCUGUGGCAGUGGGGUUGAAACUAGACAAUCUUUGAUGUCCCUUCCAACACAAGUCAUUCUGUGAUUCUAUGAUUCCAACUCUGGCAUCAAAGGCAGGAUUUGUACAGAAGUAUCUUGAAGAUAACAGGCCCUGUGGGAAUCCAAGUGCCAAUUCACAGCAGAGUAAAUAUCACCUGUUGCUAACUUUACCUGUGCUGCCUGAGACCUCAAUAGAGAAGUCAUUCAGCCAGAUCAUUAAACCUAUAGGAGAGAUGAACACUAGGAAGGUCAGUGCAACCUCCAUCACCUCCGAAUUGUGAAGCCUGUGCAAAAGUUAUGAGAAGCCAUUCUGUAUACCACGCACAGCAGGACUGUGCCCACAGAUAUAAGCGCAGCUCAGACUUAUUUUUCUUCUAGCACAUGAUGACAGAGAAGCAAAGAAACACCUGAGACCCUCUGAACCCAGCUGAGAACUAGCUAACAGCCUCCAGAAACAAAAGAGCUUGUUCCAACACAAAUGGGAAUUUCUGUUCCCCAGGACCCUCUACUACUCUCUGAAUCAUGCACAACCUCCUCUUUAACGCAGGUCUCCUACUCUCAGCAGACCUUUCCCUUCUGUGCUCAGCACUCAACAGGCUGCACUUCUUCCCAUCACCCUCACACCUGCAGCUCUGCCAGUGCUUCUCCAUGCUACCAGCCCACCCUGGCCUGCUUUGCCCUUAGCAGCAGCACCUCCAACACAUACUUGCUCAGUCUCUGUGACUCUCCUUGCUUAUUCAGGCACAAUUUGCCCAGCUCCCUCAUGCUUCUCCCUUUGAAGACCUACAUCUUAGCUACUUACACUUUACGGGAUAUUUAAAAGGGAGAAGGGGCUUACAGCUUGAAAAGCCACCCAAGGCAGGGAAAGGGGGAAGGAAAAGCCAUUGGUCUGGAGUAGCAAGGGAAGAUGAGUGGGCCCACCGCACUUCUCUUACCGAGAUUCUAAGUAAGCAUUACCAAUGAGGUGGUCUAAGGUACAGGGGAGCAUGAGAAGGUGUAAGAAAGAACACAUGCAAGGAAAGAGGCAGGAAGGUCCAAUGGGGAAAGAAACAGGGAAAACACACCACUGCGGGGCUUGGCUCUGCCCAGGAAACACAGGCUGAAAAGAGGUACAAGGCCAAAACAAAAAGAUUACCUUUACAUUGGUGCUGCUACUUCAUCUGCCGAAUCAGUAAGCAGUACCCACUGCUGAGGGUAAUACUGAGGAUCCAGUCUUACCUUUUUUCAUCCAUCCACAGCUGAGCUCCGCACGGUCCAGGCUGAACACCUUCAUAGCAGCAGAGAACAACCACCUUCCGCCAUGCUGUGAUGUCCAGACUCACAGCUGUGAGAAGGGGACCGUUUCUCAUUUGCAGGAAACCAAGCUUUUACAAGAGAAUGAGUGCCCAUUCCAGGGCGGUGUGUUCUCAUCUGACAUUCCUGAUACUGCUCUUACUACUCAGCUAUGCUUGUGAAUUGUUUAGGAAGAACACUAAUGGAAAAUGCAUUGAAAUCCAUUCUGCAUUCUUGAAACACUUGGCUUUCAAAUAAUCUUUGGCCUAUUAGGCACACAGGCUUAGAUAACAGAUCUUUUACAAUUACACGGGACACUAUGGGAUUUUACUCAUUUUUUACCCCAAGUUUUGAAACUUACUGUUCUAAGCCGGUAAGCUCUUAAUCAACUCCAACUUCUUAAGCCAGUUCAGAACAAUGCAAGAACGUAUCAGACAUCAGAACAGCAAUGACUGCAGAAACAGGAAAGACCCCAUUGGUCCUUCAUGGCUGAGAUGCCCUAUAGAAAUCAUCAUGGGUAAGGGCCCCGUACUACUAAAGCUGUCAGCACUGGGAAGUGCAGUGGUUCUGCAAGACCUUCCUUCAGUACCAAGUGCUGGUGCAGCAAAACUCUCACGCUAUUAUGUGCAACAGGCAACUGCUGUGCCCCUUUGGGCUUCCACACCCAGAAUUUUCACAGGGAAAAAUCACUGUGCCACACACAAAGCGAAGCCUUACUAGCGCAGAAUCUUUUACAAUCUCAGAUACGCAAAUUAGAGGAAGCAAUUGUGCAGUUUUAGGAGUUUCUAGUGACAGUGAGUCUUACAGCGCUCUCAUUUAACUUCACACAUCAAAGACAGCCAAUGCACAUAUAAGGAAGCAGCUCUGUACUCGAUGGCUUUCAUGCCAUUGCUGGCAGACAAUACCAACUUCUGGAACAGCAAGUGACUGUAUCUGCAUUUAUUUAUUUAUUCCUCAAAUCUAUCUCAAGCAAUUUUUUUAUUCCUUGGGUUAUAAGGAAAUGAAUGUAGGUAAUACUAUGGAGGUGUUUUGUAAUGAUGACAGCUGUAAGGUAUUCUGAAGGAAUUCCAUACUAAUCUGGUAAUCUUCCAAGCCCAGUUUCCAAAAUACACAAAUAAGCAGCAUGAACUAUGUGGGGUUAACUUGGUACAACAAAUAUAGUAAUAUAUUACAAGUGUAAUAUAAACAGAAGGAGAACCGUUCCUGAGAGCAGUCAAUGAUUUGUCUACGGAAGAAAAAAAAGCAAACAUUUUAAUAACAGUACCAUUCCACCCAAAAGAUGUCGUGUACUGUUCCUGCUUGAUCUGUGCGAUGGACUAUUGCUGAAGGCCAACAAGGCAGUCACUGGGAAAACCUAGAUUAAUUUUUUAACUUGGUUAGUGCUCUGAGCAUUAUCAAACCAUACACUUGUGCACGUCUGCCUAAUAAAGAGAAAUGUAUAUAGGUUCACAAUUUGCUUUCCCUAUUUUUGAAAAUAGGUGGGUAUUUUCCAGACAUUUUUCUUACCAAGGAAACCUAAACAUUUGAUCUACUUAGCAGAGUUUUUCAUCCUACUGCAUUCAGUUAUAGCAUGCUGUUUCCAAGAAACGUGCAUAAAACACUAGAGAAAAUUAGAAUUAACUUUUUAUUCCAUAAAGUUAAUGUAAAUCCCAACCAGACAGGUUUAAAAAUGAACAAAGAAAUAACUACGAGUUCUGCUUGCAUUGGUAUUCAGCGCAAGAAGAGGAUUCUACUCAACAUCUGAAGAGACUGAAGGGGGGGGGGAGGGGGGGGAA